AUCGUAACUCCUACGGGAGGCAGCAGUGGGGGAUUUUGGACAAUGGGGGCAACCCUGAUCCAGCAAUGCCGCGUGAGUGAAGAAGGCCUUCGGGUUGUAAAGCUCUUUUGUCAGGGAAGAAACGGUAGUAGCUAAUAUCUAUUACUAAUGACGGUACCUGAAGAAUAAGCACCGGCUAACUACGUGCCAGCAGCCGCGGUAAUACGUAGGGUGCAAGCGUUAAUCGGAAUUACUGGGCGUAAAGCGUGCGCAGGCGGUUGUGUAAGUCAGAUGUGAAAUCCCCGGGCUCAACCUGGGAAUUGCAUUUGAGACUGCACGGCUAGAGUGUGUCAGAGGGGGGUAGAAUUCCACGUGUAGCAGUGAAAUGCGUAGAUAUGUGGAGGAAUACCGAUGGCGAAGGCAGCCCCCUGAGAUAACACUGACGCUCAUGCACGAAAGCGUGGGGAGCAAACGGGAUUAGAUACCCUAGUAGUCCUAGAGC
rnacentral:rRNA from 1 species